GUCGACGAUUAGAGUUUGAUCCUGGCUCAGAUUGAACGCUGGCGGCAGGCCUAACACAUGCAAGUCGAGCGGAAACGACAACAUUGAAUCUUCGGAGGAUUUGUUGGGCGUCGAGCGGCGGACGGGUGAGUAAUGCCUAGGAAAUUGCCUUGAUGUGGGGGAUAACCAUUGGAAACGAUGGCUAAUACCGCAUAAUGCCUACGGGCCAAAGAGGGGGAUCUUCGGACCUCUCGCGUCAAGAUAUGCCUAGGUGGGAUUAGCUAGUUGGUGAGGUAAUGGCUCACCAAGGCGACGAUCCCUAGCUGGUCUGAGAGGAUGAUCAGCCACACUGGAACUGAGACACGGUCCAGACUCCUACGGGAGGCAGCAGUGGGGAAUAUUGCACAAUGGGCGAAAGCCUGAUGCAGCCAUGCCGCGUGUAUGAAGAAGGCCUUCGGGUUGUAAAGUACUUUCAGUUGUGAGGAAGGGUGUGUAGUUAAUAGCUGCGCAUCUUGACGUUAGCAACAGAAGAAGCACCGGCUAACUCCGUGCCAGCAGCCGCGGUAAUACGGAGGGUGCGAGCGUUAAUCGGAAUUACUGGGCGUAAAGCGCAUGCAGGUGGUUCAUUAAGUCAGAUGUGAAAGCCCGGGGCUCAACCUCGGAACUGCAUUUGAAACUGGUGAACUAGAGUGCUGUAGAGGGGGGUAGAAUUUCAGUGUAGCGGUGAAAUGCGUAGAGAUCUGAAGGAAUACCAGUGGCGAAGCGGCCCCUGGACAGACACUGACACUCAGAUGCGAAAGCGUGGGGGAGCAAACAGGAUUAGAUACCCUGGUAGUCCACGCCGUAAACGAUGUCUACUUGGAGUUGUGGCCUUGAGCCGUGCUUUCGGAGCUAACGCGUUAGUAGACCGCCUGGGGGAGUACGUCGCAGAUUAAACUCAAAUGAUGACGGGGCCGCACAAGCGG
rnacentral:rRNA from 1 species